rnacentral:rRNA from 1 species
UACAGAGGUGGCAAGCGUUGUUCGGAAUUAUUGGGCGUAAAGGGCUCGUAGGCGGUCUGUCACGUCGGGAGUGAAAACUCAGGGCUUAACCCUGAGCCUGCUUCCGAUACGGGCAGACUAGAGGUAUGCAGGGGAGAACGGAAUUCCUGGUGUAGCGGUGAAAUGCGCAGAUAUCAGGAGGAACACCGGUGGCGAAGGCGGUUCUCUGGGCAUUACCUGACGCUGAGGAGCGAAGGUGUGGGGAGCGAACAGG